rnacentral:rRNA from 1 species
UACGUAGGGUGCAAGCGUUGUCCGGAAUUAUUGGGCGUAAAGAGCUCGUAGGCGGUCUGUCGCGUCUGCUGUGAAAACUCAGGGCUUAACCCUGAGCUUGCAGUGGGUACGGGCAGACUAGAGUGCGGUAGGGGAGACUGGAAUUCCUGGUGUAGCGGUGAAAUGCGCAGAUAUCAGGAGGAACACCGGCGGCGAAGGCGACGCUCUGGUCCAUUACUGACGCUGAGGUGCGAAAGCCAGGGGAGCAAACGGG